rnacentral:rRNA from 1 species
UAUGGCCACAUCACGCUGAAACACCAGUUUCCGUACGGUCACCGAAGUUAAGCAAUGUCAAGCCUGCUCAGUACCUACAUGGGUGACCGCUUGGGAAUAUUAGGUGUAGUAAG